ACCCUAGAUCUAAGUGCCGGUGUUAGUCUAGGUCUAGGUGCCAGUGUAACCCUAUCUCUAAGUGCUGGUGUAAGCCAAGGUCUAGGUGCCAGUGUAACCCUAGAUCUAAGUGCUGGUGUAAGCCAAGGUCUAGGUGCCAGUGUAACCCUAGAUCUAAGUGCCGGUGUUAGUCUAGGUCUAGGUGUCAGUGUAACCCUAUCUCUAAGUGCCGGUGUCACCC